rnacentral:sRNA from 1 species
UUAAGAGAAUAAAAAAAUUAAAUUUUGAAUGUCAAAUGUAAACAUCUGAUCGUUUGACUUGACACGUGACACGAUCCUAUGAGUUAGUAACUUAAUUAGCAUAUGUAAAUUUGUUUACUUUUUAAGAUUUUCUAUUUUUUUAAGAGAAUAAAAAAGUUAAAUUUUAAAUGACACAUGUAAACAUCUGAUCGUUUGACUUGACACGUGGCACGAUCCUAUGAGUUAAAAACUUUGAAAACCAUACUUUAUAUAAUAAGAUUCUAUUUUUU